GUUAGGACUGGUAACAGGGAUGUUGUAGUGUUGGUGGAGGUUAGGACUGGUAACAGGGAUGUUGUAGUGGAGGUUAGGACUGGUAACAGGGAUGUUGUAGUGUUGGUGGAGGUUAGGACUGGUAACAGGGAUGUUGUAGUGGAGGUUAGGACUAGUAACAGGGAUGUUGUAGUGGAGGUUAGGACUGGUAACAGGGAUGUUGUAGUGGAGGUUAGGACUGGUAACAGGGAUGUUGUAGUGUUGGUGGAGGUUAGGACUGGUAACAGGGAUGUUGUAGUGUUGGUGGAGGUUAGGACUAGUAACAGGGAGGUUGUAGUGGUGGUUAGGACUAGUAACAGGGAUGUUGUAGUGUUUGUAGAGGUUAGGACUAGUAACAGGGAUGUUGUAGUGUUGGUAGAGGUUCGGACUAGUAACAGGGAGGUUGUCGUGGUGGUAGAGGUUAGGACUAGUAACAGGGAUGUUGUAGUGUUGGUGGAGGUUAGGAGGAGUAACAGGGAUGUUGUAGUGUUGGUGGAGGUUAGGACUAGUAACAGGGAUGUUGU
ensembl:lncRNA